rnacentral:rRNA from 1 species
AGAGUUUGAUCAUGGCUCAGAUUGAACGCUGGCGGCAGGCCUAACACAUGCAAGUCGAACGGUAGCACAGAGGAGCUUGCUCCUUGGGUGACGAGUGGCGGACGGGUGAGUAAUGUCUGGGAAACUGCCCGAUGGAGGGGGAUAACUACUGGAAACGGUAGCUAAUACCGCAUAACGUCGCAAGACCAAAGAGGGGGACCUUCGGGCCUCUUGUCAUCGGAUGUGCCCAGAUAGGAUUAGCUAGUAGGUGGGGUAACGGCUCACCAAGGCCACGAUGCAUAGCCGACCUGAGAGGGUGAUCGGCCACACUGGGACUGAGACACGGCCCAGACUCCUACGGGAGGCAGCAGUGGGGAAUAUUGCACAAUGGGCGCAAGCCUGAUGCAGCCAUGCCGCGUGUAUGAAGAAGGCCUUCGGGUUGUAAAGUACUUUCAGCGAGGAGGAAGGCGUUGUGGUUAAUAACCUUAGUGAUUGACGUUACUCGCAGAAGAAGCACCGGCUAACUCCGUGCCAGCCGCCGCGGUAAUAC